GGAGACGCCAGCCGAUGGGCGCCGGCCGCCGCCUUGAAAGCGGUUGGAGGCUUCGCCGCCUCGUGGGCGUUCGACUCGCCCCGUCUCCGCCA
rnacentral:tRNA from 1 species